rnacentral:tRNA from 1 species
UGUUCUGUGGCUUAGUUGGUUAAAGCGCCGGUCUAGCGAAUACGGAGUCGUGGGUUCGUACCCCACCAGAACGC